CUACCUUCGGAGUGGGGAAUAAACAAUCGGAAACGAUUGCUAAUACCGCAUAAUGCAGCGGCACCUAAUGGUGACAGUUGUUAAAGCGGGGGAUCGAAAGACCUCGCGUCUGAAGAGGAGCCUGCGGCGGAUUAGCUAGUUGGUAGGGUAACGGCUUACCAAGGCAACGAUCCGUAGCCGGCCUGAGAGGGCGGUCGGCCACACUGACACUGACAUACGGGUCAG
rnacentral:rRNA from 1 species